rnacentral:rRNA from 1 species
GAUCUUUAUGGCUCAGGAUGAACGCUAGCUACAGGCUUAACACAUGCAAGUCGAGGGGCAGCAUGGUCUUAGCUUGCUAAGGCCGAUGGCGACCGGCGCACGGGUGAGUAACGCGUAUCCAACCUGCCUUACACUCUUGGACAGCCUUCUGAAAGGGAGAUUAAUACAAGAUGUUAUCAUGAGUAAGCAUUUUCGCAUGAUUAAAGGUUUACCGGUGUAAGAUGGGGAUGCGUU